GAAAAUUGUAACUGAAAAGCGGGUGACCUAGCUGGGACAGAGAGGAGCUGCGAGGGAUCUGGUUAGAAGAAGAGCUCGUUCUGUCUGCUUCCGCGAUCUCACAACCCCUCCAAGGACUCACCCACCCACCCUGGGCUGAGCAGGCUGUUGGACUCUGAAAAGGAAAUCACAGACCAUAGAAGGAGCCCUUUUGUGCUGCUGAUAGAACAGAAGAUUAUCCCUGUUGCAGCUCUUCUGACCACUCCAAUUUAAACUAAAGCUUUACAGCAAGCAGUCCCUAACCCUUACACAAUGGCAGAACUGCACGGGGUGAGUCAGUCCCUAUUCACAAGAAGCUUAACACUUAACUGGAAGAACUUGUCUUUUGCUUGAGGAUACCAGACCCCAAUAUGGAGAUUGAACAGAAGAGCUUGACCUCAACUAUUGGUCUUCUCAAUGCCAAAUUCUGUUUGGGCUGUAUAGCUUAAGAUGCUAGGUAAUUGCUUUAAAUAUAUGACAUUGAUUAUGUAAAACCAUUUUAUCAUCAAAAUUUGCAGAGAUAAUACAUACAACCUAACAUUUAUC